rnacentral:lncRNA from 1 species
GCCUACAAGCAGCCAUCCAGUCACAACACAAACCAGGAAUCUCAACGCAGAACAGCAGAGCCUAAUGCAUUUAAAGCUACCGGUGGCUCCAAUCACAGCACCUAACUCAUAACGAUGGGCUGGCAUCCGUUCUUUUGGCAUCCAGGAACAUUAGAAUAUGCAGAGAGGCUAGGAAGACAGAGUGCGACAGUCC